AACGAACGCUGGCGGCAUGCCUAACACAUGCAAGUCGAACGCCCUGGUUCGCCAGGGAGUGGCGCACGGGUGAGUAACGCGUGGGAACCUGCCCGGCAGUACGGGACAACCGCGGGAAACUGCGGCUAAUACCGUAUACGGCCUGAGGGCGAAAGAAUUUCGCUGUCGGAGGGGCCCGCGUCGGAUUAGGUAGUUGGUGGGGUAACGGCCUACCAAGCCUGCGAUCCGUAGCUGGUCUGAGAGGAUGAUCAGCCACACUGGGACUGAGACACGGCCCAGACUCCUACGGGAGGCAGCAGUGGGGAAUAUUGGACAAUGGGCGCAAGCCUGAUCCAGCAAUGCCGCGUGAGUGAUGAAGGCCUUAGGGUUGUAAAGCUCUUUCGCCCGCGACGAUGAUGACGGUAGCGGGAGAAGAAGCCCCGGCUAACUCCGUGCCAGCCGCCGCGGUAAUACGGAGGGGGCUAGCGUUGUUCGGAAUUACUGGGCGUAAAGGGCGCGCA
rnacentral:rRNA from 1 species